GACGAACGCUGGCGGCGUGCCUAAUACAUGCAAGUUGAGCGCUGAAGGUUGGUACUUGUACCAACUGGAUGAGCAGCGAACGGGUGAGUAACGCGUGGGGAAUCUGCCUUUGAGCGGGGGACAACAUUUGGAAACGAAUGCUAAUACCGCAUAAAAACUUUAAACACAAGUUUUAAGUUUGAAAGAUGCAAUUGCAUCACUCAAAGAUGAUCCCGCGUUGUAUUAGCUAGUUGGUGAGGUAAAGGCUCACCAAGGCGAUGAUACAUAGCCGACCUGAGAGGGUGAUCGGCCACAUUGGGACUGAGACACGGCCCAAACUCCUACGGGAGGCAGUAGUAGGGAAUCUUCGGCAAUGGACGAAAGUCUGACCGAGCAACGCCGCGUGAGUGAAGAAGGUUUUCGGAUCGUAAAACUCUGUUGGUAGAGAAGAACGUUGGUGAGAGUGGAAAGCUCAUCAAGUGACGGUAACUACCCAGAAAGGGACGGCUAACUACGUG
rnacentral:rRNA from 1 species